rnacentral:rRNA from 1 species
GUUGUAUAGUCAAGUAAUUAAGUGCAUGUGGUGGAUGCCUUGGCAGUCAGAGGCGAUGAAAGACGUGAUAGCCUGCGAAAAGCUCCGGGGAGGCGGCAAAUAUCCUUUGAUCCGGAGAUGUCUGAAUGGGGGAACCCACCUACUUUAAGGUAGGUAUUGCAACAUGAAUACAUAGUGUUGCAAGGCGAACGAGGGGAAGUGAAACAUCUCAGUACCCUUAGGAAAAGAAAUCAAUUGAGAUUCCCUCAGUAGCGGCGAGCGAACGGGGAUCAGCCCAUUAAGUUAUGUGUGUUUUAGUGGAACGCUCUGGGAAGUGCGAACGUAGAGGGUGAUAUUCCCGUACACGAAAGGGCACACAUAAUGAUGACGAGUAGGGCGAGGCACGUGAAACCUUGUCUGAAUAUGGGGGGACCAUCCUCCAAGGCUAAAUACUCCUGACUGACCGAUAGUGAACCAGUACCGUGAGGGAAAGGCGAAAAGAACCCCUGUGAGGGGAGUGAAAUAGAUCCUGAAACCGCAUGCAUACAAGCAGUGGGAGCACCUUCGUGGUGUGACUGCGUACCUUUUGUAUAAUGGGUCAGCGACUUAUAUUCAGUAGCAAGGUUAACCGUAUAGGGGAGCCGUAGAGAAAUCGAGUCUUAAUAGGGCGUUUAGUUGCUGGGUAUAGACCCGAAACCAGGCGAUCUAUCCAUGAGCAGGUUGAAGGUUGGGUAACACUAACUGGAGGACCGAACCCACUGUCGUUGAAAAGCCAGGGGAUGACUUGUGGAUAGGGGUGAAAGGCUAAUCAAGCCUGGUGAUAGCUGGUUCUCCCCGAAAGCUAUUUAGGUAGCGCCUCGGACGAAUACCAUAGGGGGUAGAGCACUGUUUCGGCUAGGGGGUCAUCCCGACUUACCAAACCGAUGCAAACUCCGAAUACCUAUGAGUACUAUCCGGGAGACAGACUGCGGGUGCUAACGUCCGUAGUCAAGAGGAAAACAAUCCAGACCGCCAGCUAAGGCCCCAAAAUCAUAGUUAAGUGGGAAACGAUGUGGGAAGGCAUAGACAGCUAGGAGGUUGGCUUAGAAGCAGCCACCCUUUAAAGAAAGCGUAAUAGCUCACUAGUCGAGUCGGCCUGCGCGGAAGAUGUAACGGGGCUAAAACUAUGUGCCGAAGCUGCGGAUNNNNNNNUUGACAUUAGUCAAGUGGUAGGGGAGCGUUCUGUAAGCCGAUGAAGGUGUAUUGAGAAGUAUGCUGGAGGUAUCAGAAGUGCGAAUGCUGACGUGAGUAACGACAAAACGGGUGAAAAACCCGUUCGCCGAAAGACCAAGGGUUCCAGUCCAACGUUAA